AGAGUUUGAUCAUGGCUCAGAUUGAACGCUGGCGGCGUGCUUAACACAUGCAAGUCGAGCGGCAGCGNNNNAGCAAUACUGGCGGCGAGCGGCGGACGGGUGAGUAACGCUUGGGAAUCUGCCUAUUAGUGGGGGACAACCCGGGGAAACUCGGGCUAAUACCGCAUACGCUCUACGGAGGAAAGCCGGGGACCGCAAGGCCUGGCGCUAAUAGAUGAGCCCAAGUCGGAUUAGCUAGUUGGUAGGGUAACGGCCUACCAAGGCGACAAUCCGUAGCUGGUCUGAGAGGACGACCAGCCACACCGGAACUGAGACACGGUCCGGACUCCUACGGGAGGCAGCAGUGGGGAAUAUUGGACAAUGGGGGCAACCCUGAUCCAGCGACGCCGCGUGGGUGAAGAAGGCCUGCGGGUUGUAAAGCCCUUUCGGUGGGGAAGAAAAGUUUCGACCUAACACGUCGAGACCUUGACGUAACCCACUAAAGAAGCACCGGCUAACUCUGUGCCAGCAGCCGCGGUAAUACAGAGGGUGCGAGCGUUAAUCGGAAUUACUGGGCGUAAAGCGCGCGUAGGCGGCUUUGCAAGUCGGGUGUGAAAUCCCCAGGCCUAACCUGGGAACUGCAUUCGAGACUGCAUGGCUAGAGUAUCGGAGAGGGAAGUGGAAUUUCAGGUAGCGGUGAAAUGCGUAGAUAUCUGAAGGAACAUCAGUGGCGAAAGCGACUUCCUGGACGAAUACUGACGCUCAUGUGCGAAAGCGUGGGGAGCAAACAGGAUUAGAUACCCUUGUAGUCC
rnacentral:rRNA from 1 species